rnacentral:rRNA from 1 species
CCUACGGGAGGCUGCAGUGAGGAAUAUUGGUCAAUGGGCGCGAGCCUGAACCAGCCAAGUAGCGUGAAGGAUGACUGCCCUACGGGUUGUAAACUUCUUUUAUAAAGGAAUAAAGUGAGGCACGUGUGCCUUUUUGUAUUUACUUUAUGAAUAAGGAUCGGCUAACUCCGUGUCAGCAGCCUCGGUAAUACGGCGGAUCCGAUCGUUAUCCGGAUUUAUUGGGUUUAAAGGGAGCGUAGAUGGGUUGUUAAGUCAGUUGGGAAAGUUUGCGUCUCAACCGUAAAAGUGCAAUUGAUACUGGCAGUCUUGAGUACAGUUGAGGUAGGCGGAAUGCGUGGUGUAGCGGUGAAAUGCUUAG